GGUAGGGCCGAAGCCUAACCAUGCAGUCGGACGGUAGCACAGAGAACUUGGUCCCGUGUGAGAAGUGUGGGACAGGUGAGUAAUGUGUGGGGAUCUGCCCCAUAUAGGGGGAUAUCCCCUGUGAACGGUGGGUAAUACCCCAUAACGUCUCACGACCAAAAAGGGGGACCUUCUCGCCUCUCUCUAUCUGAUGAGCCCCCAUGGGAUUAUCUAUUAUGCGGGGUAAUGGGCCCCCUAUGCGACAAUCCCCAUCUGGGCUGAGAGGAUGACCCCCCCCACUGUGACUGAGACACGGUCCCCACUCCCACAGGAGGCGCCACUGGGGAAUAUUGUGCAAUGGGCGCACACCUGAUGCACCCCUGCGCCGUGUAUAAAAAAAGCCUUCUCGUUGUAAAGUACUUUCUCCGCGGAGAAAAGCGACGGGGUUAAUAACCCCGUCUAUUGAGGUUACCCCCACAAAAAACACCGGCUAACUCUCUGCCACCACCCGCGGUAAUACAGAGGGGGUGAACGUUUAUCUCAAUUUCAGGGCGUAAAGCGCACACACGCGGUCUGUGAAAUCUCAUAUGAAAUCCCCGGGCUUAAACUGGGAACUGUGC
rnacentral:rRNA from 1 species